rnacentral:rRNA from 1 species
UACGUAGGGGGCUAGCGUUGUCCGGAAUCAUUGGGCGUAAAGAGCGUGUAGGCGGCCCGGUAAGUCCGCUGUAAAAGUCAAAGGCUCAACCUUUGAAUGUCAGUGGAUACUGCCGGGCUAGAGUCCGGAAGAGGCGAGUGGAACUCCUGGUGUAGCGGUGGAAUGCGCAGAUAUCAGGAAGAACAUCAACGGCGAAGGCAGCUCGCUGGGACGUUACUGACGCUGAGACGCGAAAGCGUGGGGAGCAAACAGG